rnacentral:rRNA from 1 species
AAUGAACGCUGGCGGCAUGCCUAACACAUGCAAGUCGAACGAAGGCUUCGGCCUUAGUGGCGCACGGGUGCGUAACGCGUGGGAAUCUGCCCUCAGGUUCGGAAUAACAGCGAGAAAUUGCUGCUAAUACCGGAUGAUAUCGCGAGAUCAAAGAUUUAUCGCCUGAGGAUGAGCCCGCGUAGGAUUAGCUAGUUGGUGUGGUAAAGGCGCACCAAGGCGACGAUCCUUAGCUGGUCUGAGAGGAUGAUCAGCCACACUGGGACUGAGACACGGCCCAGACUCCUACGGGAGGCAGCAGUGGGGAAUAUUGGACAAUGGGCGGAAAGACCUGAUCCAGCAAUGCCGCGUGAGCGAUGAAGGCCUUAGGGUUG